GACGUAGGAGGCGGGCGUUGUCCGGAAUUAUUGGGCGUAAAGGGCUCGUAGGCGGUUUGUCGCGUCGGGAGUGAAAACCUUGGGCUUAACUCAGGGCUUGCUUUCGAUACGGGCAGACUAGAGGUAUGCAGGGGAGAACGGAAUUCCUGGUGUAGCGGUGAAAUGCGCAGAUAUCAGGAGGAACACCGGUGGCGAAGGCGGUUCUCUGGGCAUGAUCUGACGCUGAGGAGCGAAAGUGUGGGGAGCGAACAGG
rnacentral:rRNA from 1 species